UACGAAGGGGGCUAGCGUUGUUCGGAGUUACUGGGCGUAAAGGGCGCGUAGGCGGCGCAUCAAGUCAGGCGUGAAAGCCCUGGGCUCAACCCGGGAAUUGCGCUUGAGACUGGUGUGCUUGAGUACGGGAGAGGAUAGUGGAAUUCCCAGUGUAGAGGUGAAAUUCGUAGAUAUUGGGAGGAACACCAGUGGCGAAGGCGGCUAUCUGGACCGUAACUGACGCUGAGGCGCGAAAGCGUGGGGAGCAAACAGG
rnacentral:rRNA from 1 species